UACUAAAUAAAUGAGGGCGU
rnacentral:siRNA from 1 species